GCCUGGCUGGCUCAGUGGGUAGAGCAUGUGACUCUUGAUCUCAGGGUUGUAGGUCCGAGCCCUACAGUGGGUA
rnacentral:tRNA from 1 species